rnacentral:rRNA from 1 species
GACGUAGGGCGCGAGCGUUGUCCGGAUUUAUUGGGCGUAAAGAGCUCGUAGGCGGCUUGUCGCGUCGACCGUGAAAACUUGGGGCUCAACCCCAAGCCUGCGGUCGAUACGGGCAGGCUCGAGUUCGGUAGGGGAGACUGGAAUUCCGGGUGUAGCGGUGAAAUGCGCAGAUAUCAGGAGGAACACCGAUGGCGAAGGCAGGUCUCUGGGCCGAUACUGACGCUGAGGAGCGAAAGCGUGGGGAGCGAACAGG